rnacentral:misc_RNA from 1 species
GAAACCAACCGGGAUUGCCUCAGUAACGGCGAGUGAAGCGGCAAGAGCUCAAAUUUGAAAUCUGGCUCCUUCGGGGCCCGAGUUGUAAUUUGCAGAGGAUGCCUCAGGGAGCAGUUGCGGUCUAAGUGCCCUGGAACGGGCUGUCGUAGAGGGUGAGAACCCCGUCUUCGGCCGGCCAGCUGCGCCCGUGUGAGGCUCCUUCGACGAGUCGAGUUGUUUGGGAAUGCAGCUCUAAAUGGGUGGUAAAUUUCAUCUAAAGCUAAAUAUGGGUCGGAGACCGAUAGCGCACAAGUAGAGUGAUCGAAAGAUGAAAAGCACUUUGAAAAGAGAGUUAAACAGCAUGUGAAAUUGUUGAAAGGGAAGCGCUUGCGACCAGAGUCUCCCGCCGGGGUUCAGCGGGCUUUCGGGCCCGUGCAUUUCCCGGUGGGAGGGCCAGCGUCGGUUCGGGUGGCCGGUCAAAGGCCCCUGGAAGGUAUCGUCCCCCGGGACGUCUUAUAGCCAGGGGUGCCAUGCGGCCUGCCCGGACCGAGGAACGCGCUCCGGCACGGACGCUGGCUUAAUGGUCGUCAGCGACCCGUCUUGAAACACGGACCAAGGAGUCUAACAUCCACGCGAGUGUUCGGGUGUCAAACCCGUCCGCGCAGUGAAAGCGAACGGAGGUGAGAGCCCCUCUCGGGGGGUGCAUCAUCGACCGAUCCUGAAGUCUUCGGAUGGAUUUGAGUAGGAGCGUGGCUGUGGGGACCCGAAAGAUGGUGAACUAUGCCUGAAUAGGGUGAAGCCAGAGGAAACUCUGGUGGAGGCUCGCAGCGGUUCUGACGUGCAAAUCGAUCGUCAAAUUUGGGUAUAG